rnacentral:rRNA from 1 species
UACGUAGGGACCGAGCGUUGUCCGGAAUCAUUGGGCGUAAAGAGCGUGUAGGCGGCCACUUAAGUCCUGCGUGAAAUCUUGCGGCUCAACCGCAAGCGGUCGUGGGAAACUGGGUGGCUAGAGUGCGGGAGAGGAGAGUGGAAUUCCUGGUGUAGCGGUGAAAUGCGCAGAUAUCAGGAGGAACACCGAUGGCGAAGGCAGGUCUCUGGGCCGAUACUGACGCUGAGGAGCGAAAGCGUGGGGAGCGAACAGG